rnacentral:rRNA from 1 species
AGAGUUUGAUCCUGGCUCAGGACGAACGCUGGCGGCGUGCCUAACACAUGCAAGUCGAACGAACGGCGAGAAGCUUGCUUUUCAAAGUUAGUGGCGGACGGGUGAGUAACGCGUGAGUAACCUGCCUAUCAGAGGGGGAUAACGUUUGGAAACGAACGCUAAUACCGCAUGAUACCACAGUAUCGCAUGAUACACUGGUCAAAGGAGCAAUCCGCUGAUAGAUGGACUCGCGUCUGAUUAGAUAGUUGGUGAGGUAACGGCUCACCAAGUCGAUGAUCAGUAGCCGGACUGAGAGGUUGAACGGCCACAUUGGGACUGAGACACGGCCCAGACUCCUACGGGAGGCAGCAGUGAGGGAUAUUGCACAAUGGGCGAAAGCCUGAUGCAGCAACGCCGCGUGAGGGAUGACGGUUUUCGGAUUGUAAACCUCUGUCUUCAGUGACGAAUCAAUGACGGUAACUGAGGAGGAAGCCACGGCUAACUACGUGCCAGCAGCCGCGGUAAUACGUAGGUGGCGAGCGUUGUCCGGAAUUACUGGGUGUAAAGGGAGCGCAGGCGGGACAUCAAGUUGGAUGUGAAAUACCGAAGCUUAACUUCGGAGCUGCAUCCAAAACUGUUGUUCUUGAGUGGAGUAGAGGCAAGCGGAAUUCCGAGUGUAGCGGUGAAAUGCGUAGAUAUUCGGAGGAACACCAGUGGCGAAGGCGGCUUGCUGGGCUCUAACUGACGCUGAGGCUCGAAAGUGUGGGGAGCAAACAGGAUUAGAUACCCUGGUAGUCCACGCCGUAAACGAUGAUCAUUAGGUGUUGGGCAGCAAAGCUGUUCGGUGCCGCAGCAAACGCAAUAAGUAAUCCACCUGGGGAGUACGUUCGCAAGGUUGAGACUCAAAGGAAUUGACGGGGGCCCGCACAAGCAGUGGAUUAUGUGGUUUAAUUCGACGCAACGCGAAGAACCUUACCAGGACUUGACAUCCAACUAACGAAGUAGAGAUACAUUAGGUGCCCUUCGGGGAAAGUUGAGACAGGUGGUGCAUGGUUGUCGUCAGCUCGUGUCGUGAGAUGUUGGGUUAAGUCCCGCAACGAGCGCAACCCCUAUUGUUAGUUGCUACGCAAGAGCACUCUAGCGAGACUGCCGUUGACAAAACGGAGGAAGGCGGGGACGACGUCAAAUCAUCAUGCCCCUUAUGUCCUGGGCUACACACGUAAUACAAUGGUGGUAAACAGAGGGAAGCAAAACUGCGAAGUGGAGCAAAUCCCUAAAAGCCAUCUCAGUUCGGAUUGCAGGCUGCAACUCGCCUGCAUGAAGCUGGAAUUGCUAGUAAUCGCGAAUCAGAAUGUCGCGGUGAAUACGUUCCCGGGUCUUGCACACACCGCCCGUCA